rnacentral:rRNA from 1 species
UACAGAGGUCCCGAGCGUUGUUCGGAUUCAUUGGGCGUAAAGGGUGCGUAGGCGGCGGGGCAAGUCUGAUGUGAAAUCCUGGGGCUCAACCUCAGAACUGCAUUGGAUACUGCCUUGCCAGAGUACUGGAGAGGGAACUGGAAUUUACGGUGUAGCAGUGAAAUGCGUAGAGAUCGUAAGGAAGGCCAGUGGCGAAGGCGAGUUCCUGGACCGGUUCUGACGCUGAGGCGCGAAAGCGUGGGUAGCAAACAGG